rnacentral:rRNA from 1 species
UACGGAAGGCAGCAGUGGGGAAUAUUGCACAAUGGGCGCAAGCCUGAUGCAGCCAUGCCGCGUGUAUGAAGAAGGCCUUCGGGUUGUAAAGUACUUUCAGUCGUGAGGAAGGUGUUAAGGUUAAUAACCUUAGCAAUUGACGUUAGCGACAGAAGAAGCACCGGCUAACUCCGUGCCAGCAGCCGCGGUAAUACGGAGGGUGCGAGCGUUAAUCGGAAUUACUGGGCGUAAAGGGCACGCAGGCGGUUAAUUAAGUUGGAUGUGAAAUCUCCGGGCUUAACCUGGGAAUGGCAUUCAAGACUGGUUAGCUAGAGUCUUGUAGAGGGGGUUAGAAUUCCAUGUGUAGCGGUGAAAUGCGUAGAGAUGUGGAGGAAUACCGGGUGGCGAAGGCGGGCCCCUGGGACAAAGACUGACGCUCAUGUGCGAAAGCGUGGGGAGCAAACAGGGAUUAGAUACC